CAGCACAGAAUGCCACGACACAGCAUGGAAUGGCACGGAAUGGCACAGAAUUGCAUGGUGCAGCACGGCAGGGCAUGGCACAGCAUGGAAUGGCACAGCAUGGCCAAGAAACCUGGCAUGGCACGGCGCAAUACGGCACGGCACAGCACACGGCCAGGCAUCCCUACAUGGCUUGGCAUGGUACGGCACGGCACAGCACGGCUUGGCAUGGCACGGCACAGCAUGGCACACAGCCAGGCAUCCUUACACGGCACGGCAUGGCACAACCUGGCACGGCACGGCAUGAUACCGCACGGCACAGUGUAGCACAUGGCCGGGCAUCCCUACACGGCAUGGCACGGCAUGGCAUGGCACGGCACAUGGCUAGGCAUCCUUACUCAGCAUGGCACGGCGCAACCUGGCAUGGCACGGCAUGAUACGGCACAGCAUGGCACAUGGCCAGGCAUCUCUAUGUGGCACGGCACUGCAUGGCACAACCUGGCACGGCACGGCAUGGCUCAACCUGGCACGGCACAGCAUGGCACAUGGCCAGGCAUCUCUACAUGGCACGGCACUGCAUGGCACAACCUGGCACGGCACGGCAUGGCACAACCUGGCACAGCACAGCAUGGCACAUGGCCAGGCAUCCCUACACGGCACGGCACGGCACGGCAUGGCACAACCUGGCACGGCACGGCACGGCACAUGGCCAGGCAUCUCUACGUGGCAUGGCACUGCAUGGCACAACCUGGCAUGGCAUGGCACAGCUCACCAUGGCACAGCACGGCACAUGGCCAGGCAUCUCUACGUGGCAUGGCACGGCAAGGCACAACCUGGCACGGCAUGGCACGGCACAGCUUGGCACGGCACAGCAUGGCACACGGCCAGGCAUGGCAUGGCACAACCUGGCACGGCACGGCACAUGGCCAGGCAUCCCUACACGGCACGGCACGGCAUGGCACAGCACGGCAUGGCACGGCACAACCUGGCAUGGCACGGCACGGCAUGGCACAUGGCCAUCAACCCUUACACGGCACGGCAUGGCACGGCAUGGCACGGCACGGCACCCCCGCAGCGCCCCCUCCAGCACCCCCCCU
rnacentral:lncRNA from 1 species